AUGGACCCUUGGUAUCCACUGGGUUUGGUUCCAGGAUCCCUGUAGAUACCAAAAUCUGAAUGUUCAAGUCCCAUUAUAUACAACCACAUAGUAAAAUGGUGUCCAUUAUUUAUUUAUUUAUUUACUCUACUUGUACCCUGCCCUUCUCACCCCGGAGGGGACUCAGUUUAAAACAAUUACCAAAAAAAUUCAGAAAGUCAUUUAAAAUACAUAUUAAAGCACAAUAAAACACAGUUAAAACCAUUAAUAUCAUGUGAUCCAAAAGCAAGUUCCGGGCCGUAACAUUGGUCAAAUUCCGAGUCUUUCAUUUCUAUUGCUGCACCAGGUUUUCAAAAGCUUGGUCGAAGAGCCAUGCCUUUACUUCCUUGUGGAAGAUCAACAGGGAGGGGGCUGAUUUGAUCUCCCCGGGAAGGGAGUUCCAUAGUCGUGGGGCCACCACCAAGAAGGCCUUAUCUCUCGUUCCCGCCAGCUGUGCCUGUGAGGCAGGCAGGACUGAGAGCAGGGCCUCCCCAGACUCUGAGAUGGUUGAUAGGAGAAGAUACGUUCAGACAGGUAAAUUGGGCCAGAACUGUUUAGAGCUUUAUAGGCUAAAGCCAGCACUUUGAAUUGUGCUCGGUAGCAAACUGGCAGCCAGUGGAGCUGGUGCAACAGGCGGGUUGUGUGUUCCCUGUACGUAGCUCCGGUAAGUAAUCUGGCUGUGGCCCGUUGGACCAGUUGCAGCUUCCAAACAGUUUUCAAAGGUAAGCCCACAUAGAGCAUGUUUUAGUAAUCUAUUCGGGAUGUAACAAGAACCUGGACUACUGUGGCCAAGUCAGACUUCACAAAAGCAAGGCUUGCUUUUUGGAAUUCCUUUUUGAAUAUUUUCAAGGCAUGGAUUGUUGGAUAUAUGAAUGCAGAAUCAAUGAAGCGGGAGGUCCAACUAUACUCUUUUUUUUUUUUGGAAACUGGAAGUAGCUGUCAGUGUUGAAAUGUGGUGUGUUGUCCUUUUAUUCUGUGUUCAUUUGGCUGCAACUUCCCUUGGUGUAAACUUCAGUGAGAUUCUAUUCUUACUAUAAAAAUCCAUAUAUUUAAUAUCCUUUAAAUCACAGAAGUUUCAGAAGCAGUGUAGCGAGGUGAUUACAGCAUUGGAUUAUAACUGGGUGCAUCUACACUUACAAUGAAUGCAGCACUUGAACUGCAAUGGCUGAAUGCUAUGGAAUCCUGGGAGUUGUAGCUUUACAAAGUAUUUAGCCUUUUCUGCCAAAAAGUGCUGGUGUUUUACCAGACUACUACACCUAGGAUUCCAUGCCAUUGAACCAUGACAAUUAAAGUGAUGUUGAACCGAAUUAAUUCUACAGUGCAGUUGCAGCCCCUGAAGGCAAAGGUUCAAGUAAUUCCCUUCUUUUCAGUUAAGUGUGAAAGCAAAAUGUGUUACAUUGUGCAUUACAAUGAAAACUUCUUGCAUAGGUGGGGUAUAUUGAAUGAUGAGCAUGUUAUUUUAUGUAUUUACUUAAUUAUUAUCCUGCCUUUCUUCUGAUAUAGGGGUUCAAGGUGGCUAUAGAGGGACUCAAAACAGGUUAAAUAUGAAUUACUGAUAUUAUUAAGUUAAACCAGGAGUGAAGAGUUUGGGGAUUAAAAAAAAUUCAAGCUGUAGGUGGUUUUAUCCAUAGAUGCAGAAACUGUGGAUACAGAGAUAGGAUUUUUCACAUUGACUAGGCAGAUUUCUAAAGGAGGGCCUCAGAUUGAGUAUAACUGUACUAACAAAGCUGAUGGAAGUUGCAGUACAACAUCUGUGGCCAAGUGUAUAUUUGUCCUUUAUUUUAUUUAAAGGGCACACAUGGAAAAAUGUGUCUCCUGUAUGUGUGUGUGUACACACAUUCCUUUCCUUCAAAUGAGCUCAAGAGAGAAUAUCUAAUAAAUGAAACGCAUAAUUAAAUUAUGUUUUUAAUUGUGUUGAAUAAAUUAUUAAAUUAAAAAUUUAGUCAUAUUAAAUCCAUAAUUAAAUAUAACCCAUUUAACACUCAUAAUAACCCUCUGGUACAUUAGAUGAGCUAUUGUAACCCAUUAACUCUGCAAACAAAGAAAGUGCAUGUCACAUGUUACAUAUAAAGAGUAGUGCAGUUUCUCUGUCUCUUAUUGUUUUUUGUAAUGUAAUGGUCCAGAAGGGCUCCACUCCUAACUCUAUAGAGAGGCAGAAUAGUUACUUCUUUCUUGUUCCCAUUUAAGUAUUGUUGUUGCAUGCUUUCAAGUCAUUUCCAACUUAUUGCAACCCUAAAACAAUCCUACCAUGGGGUUUACCUGGCAAGAUUUGUUCUAACUGGAUUUAUCAUUAAUGUCUUCUGAUGCUGAGAGAGUGUGAUUUGCCCUGUGAUUUUUCAUAGUGAAAGGGAUUCAAACCCUGGUCUAAGACACAUCUACACCACAUGUGUCAAACUCCAAAACCAGCCCACCAUUUCAUUUAUGUCGCCCCCCUGGUGCCAGACUACAACUCCUGUAUUCCUCAUAAUUAGGAAUCAUGACUAGAGUUAAUGGGAGUUGUGAUACAGUAAGAUCUGAAAGGCUGCAGUUUGUACUAUUUAGCCCAAUAGUGUGAUUUGAUGUGUUGUUGAAGGCUUUAAUGGCUGGAAUCACUAGGUUACUAUGAAUUUUCCAGGCUUCAUGGCCAUGUUCCAGAAGCAUUCUCUCCUGAUGUUUCACCCACAUCUACCAUAUGACAGGCAUCCUCAGAGGUUGUGAGGUCUGUUGUAAACUAGCCAAGUGGGGUUUAUAUAUCUAUGGAAUGCCCAGGGUGGGACAAAGAAUUAUUAUCUGUUGGAGUAGAGUGUGAAUGUUCCAGUUGGCCAACUUGAUUAGCACUGAAUGGCCUUGCAGCUUCAAAAUCUGGCUGUUUCCUGCCUGGGGGAAUCCUUUGUUGGGAGAUGUUAGCUGGCCCUGAUUGUUUCUUGUGUGGUUUGAAUUUUGAUCCAAGGAUAUGAUGCCUGCCUUUAAAAUGUCCUUCAGCCUUUCCCCAACCUCUGAGCCACAAGUGAUGUUAGGUUGCAAUUCCCAUUAUCCCCUAUCAGCAUGGCAGAUAACAAAAAAUGAUGGGAGUUGUAAUUCAGCAACAUCUAGGGAUCCAAACUGGGUAACAACUAGAGAGAACCAACUACUAUGCAAAAGAGUUAUAGUCGGCCACCUAUAUACACAGAUUCUCCAACCAUGGAUUCAACAGCCUUUAGAAGUCAACAGUAAGGCUGAUGUGGCCCUCAGUGAAAAUGAGUUUGAUGCUGGGUUGCCGGGGUUUUUCCUGGCUGUAUGGCCAGGUUACAGAAGCAUUCUCUCCUAACGUUUCACCCCCAUCUAUGGCAGGCAUCCUCAGAAAUUGUGACGUCUGUUGGAAACUAGGCAAGAGGGGUUUAUAUAUCUGUGAAAGGUCCAUGGUAGGAGAAUAAACACUUGUUUGUUGGAGGCAAGUGUGAAUGUUGCAAUCAUCAUGAUUAACAUUGAAUAGCCUUUCAGCUUCAAAGGCCUGACUGCUUCCUGCCUGGGGGCAUCCUUUGUUGGGAGGUGUUAGCUGGCCCUGAUUGUUUUGUGUCUGGAAUUCCCCUGUCUUCUGAGUGUUGUUCUUUAUUUACUGUCCUGAUUAUAUAUUUUUUAAUAUUGGUAGCCAGAUUUUGUUCAUUUUCAUGGUUUCCUCUUUUCUGUUGAAAUUGUCGUUUGACACUACUUGUCUACACGGCAAAUUUAAUGCAGAUUGUUUUUUUAAAAUUAUUUUUAUUGGUGAUUAUUUGUUACAAUUAAGAUCAAGGGGUUGUGGGUAAGGAGGAGGGGAAGAAAGAGAGCGGCAGGGAAGGUGGGGGGGAGGGUUAGGGGUUUUGAGGAUCUGUCAAGUGAUGAGGUUCGAGGGGUGACGGAUGAUAUCUUCUGCUGGUACAUGUAGUUAGUUGUAAGGGUUUUAAGGGGGGAUUUGUUCUUCAGUGGUCAAUGUUGCAGUUUCUCGAGUCUUCUGUUUUUUCUCUUCCUUGUGUGGUUUUCUGGGUAAAUUUAAUGCAUUUUGAUGCCACUAUAUGGCUCCAUGUAAUAGAGUUGUGGCAGUUUUUUUUCAAAAGCCCUUAAGCUUUCUCUGCCGAAGCGUGCUUGUGCUUCACCACACUACAAACCCCAUAACUCCAUAGCAUUGAGCUAUGGCAGUUAAAUGGGGUAUUAAACUUCACUAUUUCUACAGUGUAGACACAUCCUUGGUCCAUCCAUCAAACCACUACAUCACACAGGCCACAACAUCACACUUUUCAGUAUAGUUAGCUGAAAGCAGACAUGGACAAACUUGGGCCGCCCAGGUGUUUUGGACUUCAACUCCCACAAUGCCUAACAGACUGUUAGGAAUUGUGGGAGUUGAAGUUCAAAAUACCUGGAGGGCCGGAGUUUGCCCAUGCCUGGCCUAAAGAUUCUGAAUCUUGCUUGGCCUUGGAAGCUAAGUAGGGUCAGGCCUGGUUAGCACCUGGAUGGUAGACUGUCAGGUUCUGGAGGCUAUAUUUCAGAGGAAGGAAUUAGCUGAAACACCUUUGAGUAUUCUUUGCCUUAGGAAACCCUAUGAAAUCAAUGGAGUCGCUUUAGGUUGACAGGAGACACACAGAGUGCUUGAGACAAGCAUCUUUUCAGGACCCCCUGGGAAGAGGGAAAUAGCCUGUCCCAAAGCAUAAGAAUGAAAGGCAUGAAGAUGAGAUGAGAACAGUCCAUUUUCGGAAGGGGGGGAUAGUCCCAGGUGCCCCUUAAUGACUAGCAGCAUCCUCUGCCUCAUCUCCCAAUUUGGCUGCAGUAGAGGAAUGCCGCGGGUUGCCUAGCAACCGCCACACUCAUUUUCUUCUUCCUGCAGAACAGGCCACCUCUUUGAAAUGAGCAGAGUAGAAACACGAAGGGGGGGGGGUGAUAGUUAAAUAUUUAGUGGGGGUUAGGUGCAAAAAACAGAAACAGGUUUAUCCUUUACAAAUAGGUCGUCUUCCUGGCUCCUUUCGCAGCUGCAGAAAGCAUCCAAGGAGGCAAGUGGAUAAGGCCCGAGGAAGAGAGGGAUGUUAUGAGCCAGGAAGACUGUUGGCAUCAGUCUCCUUUCCCCACAUGGUUCACACGUUUCAGCUACAAAAGAGUGACUUCAAACACUUGCGCAACUAUUUGGCCAUAAACCAGGAGCAGGACCAGACUGAGGCCCCAUCUAGACUGACCAUUUAAUGCAGUUUCAAACUGGCAUUAAGAAAAUGGUUUCUCUAUAGGUGAAAGUGAUUUUGGUGCAGGCCAUGACAUAAGAAAUCCUUGAAGGAGUUUGAAGUGGUGAUGACACAAACCUCAGUAGAGUGAGGCGCAUUAAGGGCUUUCUUUGACACUCUUCUGUGGGAGUUUGUAUCUUUAAACAGCAUUAAAUGGUUAAUAGAGUAGAGACAUCACUCUGGCAAUGAAGGUUUGCGUAGUUAAAGCAAUGAUAUUCCCUGUAGUAACCUAUGGAUGCGAGAGCUGGAUCAUAAGGAAGGCUGAGCAAAGGAAGAUAGAUGCUUUUGAACUUUGGUGUUGAAGGAAAAUCCUGAGAGUGCCUUGGACCACAAGUUGAUCCAACCAGUCCAUACUCCAGGAAAUAAUGCCCGGCUGCUCACUGGAGGGAAGGAUAUUAGAGGAAAAAAUGAAGUGCUUUGGCCACAUAGUGGGAAGACAGAAAGCUUGGAGAAGAGAAUGAUGCUGGGGAAAAUGGAAGGAAAAAGGAAGAGGGGCUGACUAAGGCCAAGAGGGAAGGAUGGUAUCCUUGAAGUGACUGGCUUGAAGGAGCUGAGGGUGGCAACGGCCGACAGGAAGCUCUGGCGUGGGUUGGUCCAUGAGGUCACGAAGAGUCGGAAGCAACUGAAACAACAAACAACAACAACAACAAAUGGUCAAUGCAGAAGGAGCCCAAGAUGCUAUGGUGCCUGAGGUAAAGGUAAAGGUUUCCCCUGAUGUUAAGUCCAGUCAUGUCUGACUCUGGGGGUUGGUGCUCAUCUCCAUUUCUAAGAUGAAGAGCUGGCGUUGUCCGUAGACACCUCCAAGGUCAUGUGGCCAGCAUGAUUGCAUGGAGCGCCGUUACCUUCCUGCUGGAGCAGUACCUAUUGAUCUACUCACAUUGCCAUGUUUUCGAACUGCUAGGUUGGCAGAAGCUGGAGCUAACAGUGGGCGCUCAUUCUGCUCCAGGGAUUUGAACCUGCGGCCUUUCGGUCUUUCCUCUUGUAGGAAGCUUAAAAUAGCUGGGUCCCGCCUAACCUCCUUGGGUAGGGAGUUCUCCAGCCAAAGAGCUGUUACAGAAAAAUCCCUGUUACACAAGGUACUGGGGGCAUCAAACAAUGUCCCCUAUGAAGAUCUCAAAUUUCUGGCAGGUUCAUAUGGAAGAAGGAGAUCUUUCAGAUAUCCUGGCCCCAAGUCAUUAGGGCUUAGCAGGUCAAUACAAACACAUUGAAUUGAGCUUGGAAGAAAACUGGAAACCAAUUAACUGCUUCCUCCUUUUGAGUGCAGGAUACACCCAGAAAAAGAAUCCCUAGUACUAUUGCCAUUUGAAAGAGGUUCAGCAGCAAAAUCUUCAGCAGCAAAACCUCCAACCACUUCCAUCAUUUGGACAGAGAACAAAAUGUCUAAAGAAAAUAACUAUAUUCUAUGGUUGAAACUCUUGAAACCUUUUUCAGAUUUUUCUAAAAAUAAAAAAGUAAAUGGCUUGCCGCUAUAGUGCAAUAAUGAUGCUAUUUUUACCUAUAAACCAUUUAAAGCCACUAUUUAGACAGCUGUACUCCAUAGAGAUGUUUUCUAAAGGUUUUUAAUUGCUUUCUUAUUACGCAGUGUUACUUUUUAUUUUUUUUAAGCUAAUGGUGUAAUAAUGCCAAGAUGUUAUGCCAUAAUAGUGUUUUUAUGGUUUAAUGAGUAUAAAUGAAAGGUUUUUGGAUAACACAACUUGAAACUAUUAUGGCAUAACAUCAUACCAUAAUAAAAACAUUUUUCCACAGGAAAGAGGAUGGCAUGUCCUAUUUUUGUUCCUGUUUGUCAUCUCUCACAAUAUCAGAUCUUGACAGUGAUGGAUACACAACAAUGAUGUCAUGCUGUAAUAGUGUUAUCAUAGUUUAAAAGGUAGGAACGAGCAGUUUUUAACAAGAUGGUCUGAAACCGAGUGGGAUGAGCAUUUUAAUUUUUCACACGAGAAAGUCAUACAAGUCUGUUUUUCUUUCUGUGCUACCUAUCACGAUGAGAGAUUUGGGAAGCAGUGGGCUGACCAUAAUGAUGUUGUGCCACAAUAAUGUUAUUACAACUACAGUAUAUUAAAAAAAAAUACUGAAGCAAAUCAAUCAUGAAGCUGAAGGCAGGGCAAAUGGAGUGGUGAUAACAGCAUUAGUGCAGAUGUAAAUUGGCAGAUAAUGCUAUUGCAGUACAAAUGUAGCAAGGAUAUUAUACACUACGUCAACAACAGCUGUCAUUACUAGUACAGUUAAAUUGGUUUUCAAAUGGUAUAACCCUGCACAACAGCAUAGUGUGAUAAGAACUAUAGACAUUUCCCUGUUGCUCAGUACAAGUGAGGGAAAAUGUGGUUGCAGGUCAUGUAUGGUCUGAAUCUCCCUUGACCCAGAAGUUCCCCACCAAUAUUCUAGUAAUAAAAUAAGCGUUUUCACUCCUGGAAAAGUUCAGCAGUUUUUGCACUGAGGCAGUUGCACAAUCUACAAGCAACCCCACCCCCCCGCCCCCAAGUUACAAAUGUUAGUAUUUGUUUUGAUUUUUUAAAUGUUGGUCUUGUUUGCUUGUUUUGUGCAUUCAUGGAUCUAUUUACAAGCAAUCUACGGAGACAGGAAAUGUCAUACAGAGCAAUAGCCAGGAAAUGAAGUCAGGCGUAGCUAGGUUAGCAAACCUCUGACAAAGUCAUUUUAUGCUCUCCCAGCCUUGCCUGAUUUCUUAAAUAUAGCAGCAUUGGCAAGAUUACCAACUUCAUGUGUUGGGUUGCAACAGUGUGUUUGAAGUAAACUGUGCAAUAAAAGUUUGAUCAGGGAAAAAAUGAAAUUCUGCUGUAGUGCCUGUACUUCUGUGCGUGCCUACUUACAACAGGCAAGGUAAACAGCAGCUGCUGCCAGAAUGCCUUACAGAGCAUGCACAAGUAGCAAAAAAGAGGGAAAGGGGGAAAGCAGACAUGCCUGUCACACUAAAAGCAUUUACCGUUUCAAUGAAACAGAAAUCUAUAUGUUCGGACACCAAAAUGAAAAUGCCUACAUUUUGGGAAAAGCUCUAAACUGGUGUCUAUAAGAUUCAAAUGUUCUUGUUUACUUAUCCAAGACUUAUCCAAUUUGGUUGCUACAUUUCACAUGCGGAGAUUAUUACUUUUGGAUAAAAGAUUUACAGAAACAUGUUGAACUUCCAGUAAUGACCAUCCAAGUCAGCAAGCCAUUAAGUGGACUGCCCCUGGGGUCAGGUGUUCGCCCAGAGGUAGACGAGGAGGCAGUCAUUGGGUAAUAUCCAUUUCUCUGUCAUGACCUAUUUCUUUGUUGCUUCCUCCAGAUUAGUUUUUUUCCUGCUCUUGAUUGCAGUUUAAAUAGCCUUUUGUUCCAUAUUUUGUUGUCUGAUCUCUUAUGUCACGGUGGUACUUCAAUUACUUUUGAAUAAAAGAUUUGCAGAAACA